GCCUCUGAAGAGCAACGCUUCAGCUGAAGGAGACUGUUCAUCCACCUCCAAAACAUUGCUUUGUUUAGGAAUGCUAGGAGUGCAGCUGUGGCCUCCCAUAUCUGGCUUUUUAUGGGUCCAAGGAUCCAACUUGGGUCAUCAGCCUUGCACAAGUCCUUUUACCUGCUCAGCCUUGUCGAUGGCCCAGUAACAAAGAAUGUCAAGAUGUCUGGAUAUCCAAGGCUUUUUGAUUUAUUGAAGAUGGGUAUUCCUGUUAUCCUGUAAAGACAAAAACCAGAACCCUGCCUCAACCCUUGUUUGUUCAGUUUUCCUUACAACUUGUAGAAUUGCC